CUCGGAAGCCGGUUUGAAGAGAUGAGUUGGACCGGAGGGAGAGACCGGGGAGGGAGUCCCGACGAGCAGCGAAGCAGCACGGGGUGUGACCGGCUCCGACUAGGAUACUUUAUACUAAAGAGAGAGAAAAACAAACAGACAUUUCAGGUUGAAACGUUGCUUCCGCUGAGCACGAGACGCGCGCGUGCGAGACCGUGGCCGCGGCGAACUCGUGCCGUCGUCGAAACCUCUGGAAUUGUCGGGAAGAAAUUCCCUGACAGUUUUAAGGUGUGGCUGUCCGCGUUCAAUAACCUUUCCAACGCCGGGGAGGACGGCCUGUCCAAAGGCCGGAGCCCCGAGACGAGCAAAAAGGGCGUUUAGGCGCUAUCGCUCAUUUUCUUUGACAUCUUACAUAACUCAAAAAAAAAAAAAAAAAAAUGCUCGCUAUAUCCUUCCGGCUUCCAACCGCGCGUCGCUAGUGAAAUAGAAUAAAACGGCGCAAUGUCGGGAGUUGGAAUGCUUUUUUUUCCUUUUUUUUUUUUUCCUCCGGCUUUCACAAGGCCUCUGGGAUGUAACGGACGUGGCAACUUUACAGUAAGACCCGGCCGCCACAGGCCGACUUGGGCGUGGGGAGGACCGGACCGGCCCGGAACAAUCCCCGGGUAGUCCGAACGUGUCCGCCUGGAAAGCGGCGGGUGUACCUCGGCGAAAUAUCUCCAGGUACCUUCUGCACACUCCUCUGCACCGGCGGAAGAGCAGGACCGACUUCCAGAAGUCUCCCGAGGCGACGGACGUCAAGAGACAAGUCCUCUGCUGCCUGCAAGCUUCCCCAGCAAGUGGCUCGCCCUCCAGCCUGGCCUUUUGGGAAUCUGCGAAUUGUCGCAGAGCAAGACCAGAUCCACGCAACCGGGGGUCAGACCUGCGUGGACCGAAUAGCCAGGUACCGGUUGUGCAGUGACGAUCAAAGAUGGCCGUCAAGAUUGACUGCAUUAAUGGCCUCCAGGUGUAGGUUUUCACACUUUCUAUGAGUGACCCAGAUAACAAACAGGUUCUGUUGUGCCUUGUGUGUGCACACCGCACGCAUUUAGAUGGCGCUGGAAGCUGCAGGGCAAAGAUUUCCGCAGUUAAAGAGCUUAAUAAAACACGGUUGACGCGAGUCAGGUCGUAAUUUAUGAGGCUUUAGUCAUUUAGCCUCCGGCCGGCAUCUGAUGACAUAUACGAAACCUUAUUUUGGGGCUGCUGUGUGCGUGUGCAGGGCCAGUGGUGAGGAGCGGUGGGCCUCUCAGCAGACAGGCUGGAAUGUGGACCAUAUGUAGCAGACAUCCCAGGAAUGUAACUUAGACCCGCUAAACCGACCGACCUAAAGAUACACAGAGCAGAGGAGGACAGAAAGUUAAAGAGCGAAGGUAACGUCAAGAGAAGGUGUUUGAAAAAUUAAAUAUAAAAAUGGAUCGCAGGGCUGGUGGAGUAUAGAGAUGAACACAUUGAGGACUAAAAUUCCAUCUUUGGAUACUAGAUACUAGGGUUGUUUGUAGUAAUUGCAUCCGUCUGAGGCCUCACUUCAUUUCUGAUUGUUUAAAAGCAUAUUCUACUUAUUUUGGGCUUAAAUUAAGCUUACAAAACUUAAAAUAUAUACAUAUACAUUGGUAUUAGACGCAUUCUAACUUGUCAAAUCAAGUGCGAGGUGCUAGCAAUGCAGCUAAUGGGACUAUACUACCCAUAAACCCUUUUUUUAAAAAAAAAAAACAUCCAAACACCAACAAGACUCUAUUUAAGCUAACUAGCUCAUGCUGCUAUAUUGACAUGGAGCCGGUGAGCUGCUCAGUGGCCUAGUGGUUAGUGUCCGCCCUGAGAUCGGUAGGUUGUGAGUUCAAACCCCGGCCGAGUCAUAUCAAAGACUAAAAAAAUGAAACCCAUUACCUCCCUGCUUGGCACUCAGCAUCAAGGGUUCGAAUUGGGGGUUAAAUCACCAAAAAUGAUUCCUGGACGCGGCCACCGCUGCUGCCCACUGCUCCCCUCACCUCCCAAGGGGUGAACAAGGGGAUGGGUCAAAUACAGAGGACAAAUUUCACCACACCUAGUGUGUGUGUGACAAUCAUUGGUACUUUAACUUAACUUAACUGCUGCAUCGCCUCUGAGCUGGUGAAAGUUAAUUCUAGAUUAUAAAUCAUGCCUCUCACCUGGAUAGUAGAAGGUUGUGGACAUAAACCGAGAAGUUAUUCAACUUUGACAUCCAACUUAGACCCGGGGAUGGUGAGUAAGACACAAAAAAACGCUCUUGCGGAAACUUUUUUGAACCCUUUGUGAGGAUUGUGAUAAAUUCUUCAUCUAAACGGGAAGAUAUAAACAUCCCAUCAGUCGGGAUCACAGUGAGUGAAGACGUUGUACAGUAAGUGAAUGUUUUAAUUAUGUUUGUAGUUUGUAUAUCUUGUUUAGCACUUAGCAAUACUGCUACGUGAUGCUUAGUGUUUCACUAAAGCUGCAUCUGAUUAGCACACAGCUUCUACAACUUUUAGCUCAUCCCCCUCAUAUUCAGGCUAAAAAAAUUUAAAUUUCUGGAUCAUAAUUGGUUCCAAAAUAGUCUUUGUUGUCGCCCAUGAAGUCUGCCAUGAUUAGUACUGGUGUUGUUGGAGGUAAAAGUGAAUGUUGUAAUAAGUCUGUGAAAUUAAUAUGCCGCCGUACGAUAAAUGAGCAAAAUACUUAAAUAUUACAACUUAUAUACUUACAGCGUGUAUAUAAAACGCUGAUGGAGCUUUUUGGAUAUUUUUUAAAGCACUUUAUGGGCGGAUUAGAGCAGCGCCAAUCGACUCCAUUGUUAGCUGACUUUUGCUAGCGUUUACUUACAAGUUAGAAUGCAUUAAAAAAGAAAAACAUGUUCUAGUCUUACUUAAGGAUUGUGAAUGAUAGACAAAAUCUCAGAAAAGUGCAGUUCCCCUUUAAGCAAGUGCAGUUAAUGUCCUAUAGUGGAUUAAACAAGUGUGAAGGUGACCAUGUGGGUGUUACUUCAUGUAUAUAGGGCUCUCAUAAUGUUAAAACAUGUUUUUACAAGGUGCGGAAAUGAAUUUAUCAUGGUUGGUCUUGUAACCAAUUAAAAGUGAUAAUUUAUCAUGGUUGGUCUUGUAACCAAUUAAAAGUGAUAAUUUAUCAUGGUUGGUCUUGUAACGAAUUAAAAGUGAUAAUUUAUCAUGGUUGGUCUUGUAACCAAUUAAAAGUGAUAAAAACGAGGUGACGACUCCAUGAGAGGUAAAAUAUUAAAACACUUUUCAAUAAAGUGCAGUACCUAAUGUUGUGGCUGUUAAUUCCAUGAGGACCAAGGACUGUUUUCACUGCUGGACUCUAGAAAGAGGUUCCGCAGCCUCCGUAGCAGAACCUGCAGGUUCUGUAACAGCUUCUUCCCUCAGGCCAUCAGACUCUUGAAUGCAUCAAAAUAAUUCCCUCAAUUCCCCCCCUUAAA